GAUGUACUCCCUCCGUUCAGAAUUACUUGUCGUGGAAAUGGAUGUAUAUAUACAUUUUUUAGUUCUAGAUACAUCCAUUUCUGCGACAAAUAAUUCGGAACGGAGGGAGUAGAUU
rfam:Triticum aestivum genome assembly, contig: Triticum_aestivum_CS42_TGACv1_scaffold_499548_6BL